CUUGGGGUGGCCUUUCAACAAUCUCAUCUUCACUUGGCAUCUCUUUCUUGAAACUUGGGCUGACAUCAACAAUUUCAGGUCCUUUGAACUGGGCUAUCGGUAAUUGUUUGUUCUGCAGUUGAAACUUUGGGUGGCCCUUCAACAACCUUGCCUUCCUUUGUCUGCUCUUCCUGGAAACUAUCAGUUGCAUCAACAGUCUUGGCUUCUGUUUUCAUCUGCCGGUGUUCUAUCCUUGACAUGCUUUACCUCUCCUCCAUCUGCAAGGUUCUUGAAGCUGGUAUAUAUAUAUAUAUGUUGAAAUGUUAGCUUGCUGCAUGAUGAAGUUCGAAAAAGAGACCUGAAAUUUGCCUAUAAUUUUCAACAUUCUCUACAACUGAAACUUGAUGAGUUCCCUCAAUAAUGUCGUCUUCACUUUCCAUGUUUGUGUUGGGUCCAUGAAUUGCUUCUAUAUUUUCAGAUACUUUCAACUGAAGUAAUUCACUGCUUCUUCUGUUGUUGAAACUUUGGGAGGCCCAUGAACAACCUUCUCUUCCCUUGUCGUUAGUUGGUUUAAACUCUGAGUUGCAUCCACAGUUUCAGGAUCUUCAAACUGCUUUCAAUUUUAUAAAACAUCAGGAUUACCAAGUUGGUUUGUGGCAAAAUAAAAGGAUAAAAUGGGUGGUAAUUUAAUAUUUCAUCUGGAGUUGAUACUUGGUCAUGCUGUUCAACAACCUUUUCUUUACUUGGUAUCUUUUUGUUGACAGUCUCAGUGGCAUCAAUGGGCUCAGGUUCUUGAAACUGGGCUAUAAUUUAUUUUCUCUUCUGCAGUUGAAACUGGGUAAGGUCCUUCAAGGCCUUUGUCUUCAGGCGGACUUUGUUUUUUGGGGCUCUGAGCAUCAAAUAUCUCAGUUCCUUCAAACUGAGUUGUAACAACCUUGUCUUGCUGUGGCAUCUUUUCCUGGAAACUAUCAGUUGCAUCAACAGUCUUGGCUUCUGUAAGCUGUUGUGUAAUGUUAUUAAUUAUAAGCAUUAUGAAGUCAUCUAUUACAAUAAGAAAAGGAUGAAAUUGGUAGUUCUGAUUCUUAUUUUACCUUUGUACUUUCACUUGCAUAAUGCGUUUCAGAUAUUUCAUCUGCCAUCAUUCCUGAUUCUGUCUUAGGCUUUGCUUCGUGGUUUUCAUCUGCCAGUGUUCUAUCGUUGACAUUCUUUACCUCUACUCCCUCUGCAAGUUGAUAAUUUACUAUUUUGUCUGCUGGUAAUUUGUCCGGAGACAUUUUGACAACCUUAUCUUCUCUUUUUAUUUGUUUGUUGACACUCUGAGUGGUAUCACUUGGCUCAGGUUGUUGAAACUGGCAUACAUAUGUUGAAAUGUUAGCUUGAUGCAUGAUGAAGUCCAAAAAAGCAACCUGAAAUUUCCACAUCAGUGCCAGUGGUUUCUUCAAGCUGGAAUGUGUAUGCAACAUCAGGAUUAUGAAAGUUGAGUUAUUAUACAAAAUGGAAGACAAAACUUUAAGAGUCUCUCUCUUUAUCGUUUAUAAUUUUGUGAUGUUGGAUAUUUAUCUACCUUUAUUAUUGUUGACAACUUGUCUCCAGUUGUAUUGUCGACAUUGUCGACAUUGUCCUCCUUUCUUUCUUCUGCAGGCCUAUAAUUUCCAAC